GAUGAACGCUGGCGGUAUGCUUAACACAUGCAAGUCGAACGGUCACUUCGGUUUUAGUGGCGUUCGGGUGUGUAACGCGUGAGAAUCUGUCCUCAUGUCUGGUACAUCAGUUAUAAAUGACUGCUAAUACCGGUUGUGCCUUUGUGUGAAAGAUUUAUUGCCUGAAAAAUAGCUCGCGUCAGAUUAGCUAGUAUGUGUUGUAAGAGACUACCUAGGCUCGGAUGUGUAGAUGGUCUGAGAGGACGAUCAGCCACACUGGAAAUGAGACACGGUCAAGAAUAGUACGGGAGGGAGCAGAGGGGAAUAUAACGAAAUGGGGGAAAGCCUGACGGAGCAAUAGCGGGUGAGGGAGGAAGGGUUUUGGGAAGUAAAGCAGUAUUAUAAAGGAAGAUAAUGACGGUACUUGAGGAAUAAGCAACGGCUAACUAUGUG
rnacentral:rRNA from 1 species